GGGGUGGAGGGGGGCGGUAUGCGAGGUAAUGCAGUCGAGGGGCAUCGGGAGGGAAGCUUGCUUUCCUUGCCGGCGACCGGCGCACGGGUGAGUAACUCGUAUGCAACCUGCCCUCUUCAGGGGGACAACCUUCCGAAAGGGAGGCUAAUCCCGCGUAUAUCGGUUUCGGGCAUCCGGGAUCGAGGAAAGAUUCAUCGGAAGAGGAUGGGCAUGCGGCGCAUUAGCUUGACGGCGGGGUAACGGCCCACCGUGGCGACGAUGCGUAGGGGUUCUGAGAGGAAGGUCCCCCACACUGGUACUGAGACACGGACCAGACUCCUACGGGAGGCAGCAGUGAGGAAUAUUGGUCAAUGGGAGAGAUCCUGAACCAGCCAAGCCGCGUGAGGGAAGACGGCCCUAUGGGUUGUAAACCUCUUUUGUCGGAGAACAAAACCCGGGACGUGUCCCGGACUGCGUGUAUCCGAAGAAAAAGCAUCGGCUAACUCCGUGCCAGCAGCCGCGGUAAUACGGAGGAUGCGAGCGUUACCCGGAUUUAUUGGGUUUAAAGGGUGCGUAGGCGGUCCGUUAAGUCAGCGGUAAAAUUGCGGGGCUCAACCCCGUCGAGCCGUUGAAACUGGCAGACUUGAGUUGGCGAGAAGUACGCGGUAUGCGCGGUGUAGCGGUGAAAUGCAUAGAUAUCGCGCAGAACUCCGAUUGCGAAGGCAGCGUACCGGCGCCAGACUGACGCUGAGGCACGAAAGCGUGGGGAUC
rnacentral:rRNA from 1 species